UACGUAGGGGGCUAGCGUUGUCCGGAUUUAUUGGGCGUAAAGAGCGUGUAGGCGGCCAUGUAGGUCCGGUGUGAAAACUCGAGGCUUAACCUCAAGAUGUCAUCGGAAACCAUUUGGCUAGAGUCCGGAAGAGGAGAGUGGAAUUCCUAGUGUAGCGGUGAAAUGCGCAGAUAUCAGGAAGAACACCAAUGGCGAAAGCAGCUCUCUGGGACGGUACUGACGCUGAGACGCGAAAGCGUGGGGAGCGAACAGG
rnacentral:rRNA from 1 species